rnacentral:lncRNA from 1 species
AGAACUAGAGUACAAACUAGCUUCCUCUGUACAUAUCGUUUUCGGGUAAUAAUACUAUCAUUGAGAAAGAAUAGAUAACGACUAUCAGGCAUAUGACUGAUUUCUAUAUGGGUGUGGGCUCAUACUCUCAUUUUAUCCUUGCUCGCUGUUCCCGACAGGAAUACGUCACUUAAAAUAAGCUAUUGACGUCUUAGUUCUGACCUUGUCUCCUUUCUUUCUUUUGUUCACCGGUGCAAGGCAAGGGCGGAGCUCUCUUAUGUUCAUCUUCCACGCCUGCCCGCAUCCCAAGC